GUUUUAUGUAGGAAAAAUAAUUUUUAUGUUUUGAAAAUAAGUAGUGAUUAGUGAAAUUUUGAAGUGAAAGCGAUAGUGAAUAAGUACUGUGAAGGAAUGAUGAAAUAUUGUGUUAAUAUAAUGAUAGUAAAUUUAAAUAAUUGUACCUUGGGUAUUAGGGAAAAUUAAAUUGAAUUAAAUAAUUUAGUAGUCUCGAAAUAAAAACAGUUAUUUUUAUAUUUUGGUUUUUGUAGCAUAAAGAUUUAUAAUAUAAAAGUAAAGGUGAAAUGUCAAUCGAGUUUUGUUAUAUCUAGUUUCUUAAGAAUAAAUUUAAUUUAGAAUUUAUAAAUAAAAUUAAUUAUAAAUUUUAGGGGCAGGAGGGGAUAGCUUCUUGUUCUAAAAAAAUAGAAAAAUAGUUGAAGGUUAAAUAGUUAAUUGUUUUAGGUUUGAAAGUGACCAUAAAAGUAAAGUGUUUUAACUAAUAUUUAAAAAUAAUAAUAUUUUUAUAAUUGAGCUUUUAGUAGUAUUGAGUUAUUAUUUAAAAUAAUAUAAAAUAAGUUAAUAUGAUUUUAUUAGUAGAAAUUUUGUGUGUAUAGAAUAAUUAUAUUUGAAAAAUAAUAAAAUUUAAUUAUAGUUUGUUACUAUAAAGGAAUUCGGCAAAAAUAUUUCUUGCCUGUUUAUCAAAAACAUGUCUGUUUGAAGGUUUAAAAAGUCUAGCCUGCCCGCUGAUAAAAUUAUUGAAGGGCCGCGGUAUCUUGACCGUGCGAAGGUAGCAUAAUCAUUAGUUUUUUAAUUGGAAACUUGUAUGAAUGGUUGGACAAAGAAAAAGCUGUCUCUAUAGUAGAAUUUGAAGUUAACUUUUAAGUGAGAAGGCUUAAAUAUUUUAAGGGGACGAUAAGACCCUAUAAAGCUUUAUAUAAUGAUUGAGUUUGGUUGAUGUUUAAGCAAUAAAGACUUAGUUUGAUCAUUAUAUUAUGUUGGGGCGACAUAGGUAUAAGUUAUAAUAACUGCUUAAUGAAGUAUACAAUAAUAUAUGAAUAAUGAAAGUAAAUGAUCCUUGAUAAAGAUUAGAAGGCUAAGUUACUUUAGGGAUAACAGCGUUAUUUUUUUUGAGAGUUCAUAUCGAAAAAAGAGUUUGCGACCUCGAUGUUGAAUUAAAAUAUCUGUAUAAUGUAGCCGUUAUAUUAGAAGGUCUGUUCGACCUUUAAAUUUUUACAUGAUUUGAGUUCAGACCGGCGAGAGCCAGGUUGGUUUCUAUCUCUUAAAAUAUAAUAGAGUGUUUUAGUACGAAAGGAUUAAACAGUCAAAAUAAUUUUUUAAUAGGAUGAAAUGCUAUU
rnacentral:rRNA from 1 species